rnacentral:piRNA from 1 species
UCCUAAAAUCAGCCCUGGUUCUUUUGAGC